rnacentral:antisense_RNA from 1 species
CUGCCCCUGCCUUUGGGGGUCGACCCUUGUACUCGCAGGACCUUAGGUGACUCUAUUCUACUUCUCUGAUCAUCCAGGAAGCCAACCUGCCUGAGGACGAGUCAUACUCUGUCCUCCCACCCCAGGCCAGAGAGUGGUAUCUGUCUGUCCACAAGUUGGAUCUGAAUGAUGCAGUGUUGCAAUCCCAUUUUAUAAAUGAGGCAACCAAAACUCGAACAGGACCAUAUUGCGACUGAAACAAGGCAUAACAGGUCUUUGACUGGCUAUCCUGUGGGUGUGGACUCAGGCUAGCCUGCGCAAAGUGGUGAGCAAGGUGGUUGGGAAAAUCAAAGGAGGGGGUAAGGUAGUGGCAGGUAACUAUCGAUAAUCUGCUCUUCUUCACAGAAAGACAGGCAAUUAGAUUGAAAAAUACCUGUGAUUCAAAGAAGUCACAAGUCACAGAGACAAACUUUUCCCAGUGUGUUCGAGUCAGAGAACCUUUGCAAAGACCAACAGGCUAAAAGAGAAAAUACAAUGUCAUAUGGAGAAGCUUUGAGAACACUAUGCUAAGUGAAAGAAGCCAGAUACAAA